AAUUCUAUUUGGUAGCCAAGGAUGACUUGCCUACUUCUUUGCGAAGGAAAAUGGUCACGGUGUCAUGUUUGAAAGUGAAUAUAUAUUUAUAAGAGUAUAUCAAUUAGUGACCAUUUUGCGUAUAAAAAGAUAUUAGGCAGUCUCCUUGGCUAUCCUUAUAUGUUCU
rfam:Brassica napus, WGS project CCCW01000000 data, contig: 10046